GGAGCUCCUCGAUCUUGCGGCGCAGGCUGUCUGUCUCAAUGAUCUGCUGUCUGUUUUUAGCCUGCUGCUCUGAGAUGAUUUGUUUUUGUUGGGAAGACUGCAGUUGGAUCUCCUGUAUGGAGGAGCGCACUGAGCGAAGCUUCUCCUCCAACGAUGAUACAUGUGCCUGCUGCUCACAGGAGUCAGGAUUGGAAAGAAGGGGAACAGUCAGAAGAGGGCAAAUGUGAGAUGGAGCCUAUCCCAGCUGACUGUGAGCAAGUGGCUGGGCACACCCUGGACCUGCUGCAAUCCCAUUCACACCAAUGGACGAUUUCAAGUCUCCAACUUACCUAACAUGCUUCAUUUUGAAAUGUGGGCAAAAGCAUGGGGAGAAGAUGCAAACUCCACACACAGAUGCGAGAACGAAGAUUCAACCCUCAAUCUCCUGAUGGGUCGCGGGGGGCACUGGCGCUUAUCUCAGCUACAAUCGGACGGAAGGCGGGGUACACCCUGGACAAGUCUCCACCUCAUCGCAGGGUAAAGGG